CUGCUGUGCCACCUGCUGUGCCACCAGCUGAGAAUUGAUGCGAGGUUUCCUACAACAGUGAACACAAGACAGAGAUUAACCACUAGACAGCCUCAUCUUCUUGUGCAGUGCCAGCCUCGUCCUGUGACGAGGUCGCGGUUGAUGUGAACGGAUUUGGCCAUAUUGGGCUACAGCUGCCUACGCUCAGUAUCUGGCAAAGUGGAGAUUGUUGUCAUCAAUGACUCCUUUCAUAGACCUCAACUACAUGGUCUACAUGUUCCAGUAAGACUCUACCCAUGGCAAAUUCAACCACACAGACAAGGCUGAGAAUGGGAAGCUUGUUAUCAAUCAGAAGGCCAUCACCAUCUUCCAAGAGCGAGAUUAACAUCAAAUGCGGACCAGACAGACUUGAUCAAUCUGCAUCAUAGGAAGCUGAAGCCCUUCAGAAAUGCUGAUUCGCCUGUUCCUCUGGCAAAUUAAAAAAGAUCUACAGAUUAAAAAAAAAAAAAAAUCCCCAAAGCAUGGUUCAAUGAGUAAGUCUGUUUAGAGAAACCACACCAUCACAAGUACUCAAGUGGGUUUCAAGUGGGAUCCCUACACGACCAGCAAGAUCUCAAUAGCAUGAUGUUAGCUAAACCCUUCACCUGUAUAAAGGGAUAUUUGGAUAAACUGGAAUAGUCUUAUAUUGCAUACAUGGCUGUAAUAACCUAGACAUAUUUCAACCAAGUAUUUACUUCAAAUCCAGUGCCUUCUUCCUCAAAGUAUCCACUUUCAUUUUUGAUAAAGGGUCUAACAGGUUUUGGAGUCUCCACACUCCAAAAAAAGACUGCAAAGUGUGUAUGCAAAGAACUCCCCCAUCCUCUUGACCGACAGCAAACUUCUUGCAAAAACUGCUAAAAUAACUUACCAAUUUUCAAGUUUGACUUACAGAAAAGUUGCAGUGACACUGUGGUUCCCAUAUAAUCCCUCACUUAAUAUUAAGAUCUUAUGAAGAUGUGGGGCAGUGACCUAAAUUAGGAAACUAUAACAUCUAAAUGAUAUUGUUCACCAAACCAUAUCCCCCCAAAGCUGUUCCCCAUGCUCAAGCUUUUUUCUGUUUGGGGGUUCAAAUGAAGCCUUCACAACACAUUUUACUGUUUUUACUUCUUACUGUCUUGCCUGCCUGUGGUAGUUUCAUGAUCAGGAAAAUUGUAAGGAGCUGCUUUCUAGAAAUACUGUUUGGGUAGAAGAUCGAGAGCGGGCUCAGUGGUUAAGAGCACUUGCAUCUUUAGUAGAGAAAUUCUGGACUUUACAAAUAUAUUUCUCCUCAAACUUUCAACCACUGACUGAUUAUCCACAUAUGGAUUCCCCUUGAAUUGAUGUAAAGACCCAGUUAACUUGGUAUUUGUGCUCUAUUAGUAUGAAUCUGUUAAUUUUAUCACACAGGAUAUAUUUUCUUUG